ACCAGCUGCUAUAUCACCCUGUAACUCAGAACUGGCAAGCCACUGAAGCGCAGCAGGUGUGAGCCUGGCCAGUGCCUGGGUGGGAGAUCUCCUGGGAAAGCUAAGGUUGCUGCUGGAA
rnacentral:rRNA from 1 species